rnacentral:rRNA from 1 species
UACAGAGGUCCCGAGCGUUGUUCGGAUUCACUGGGCGUAAAGGGUGCGUAGGUGGUGAGGUAAGUCGGAUGUGAAAUCUCCGGGCUCAACCCGGAAAUGGCAUUGGAAACUACCUUGCUGGAGGAUUUGAGGGGGGAUUGGAAUACUUGGUGUAGCAGUGAAAUGCGUAGAUAUCAAGUGGAACACCAGUGGCGAAGGCGAGUCCCUGGACAACUCCUGACACUGAGGCACGAAAGCUAGGGGAGCAAACAGG